CCCCUAGUAACGGCGAGUGAAGCGGGAACAGCUCAAAUUUGAAAUCUGGCCUUCGGGUCCGAGUUGUAAUUUGCAGAGGAUGCUUUUGGUGCGGUGCCUUCCGAGUUCCCUGGAACGGGACGCCUUAGAGGGUGAGAGCCCCGUACGGUUGGCCACCAAGCCUGUGUAAAGCUCCUUCGACGAGUCGAGUAGUUUGGGAAUGCUGCUCAAAAUGGGAGGUAUAUUUCUUCUAAAGCUAAAUACUGGCCAGAGACCGAUAGCGCACAAGUAGAGUGAUCGAAAGAUGAAAAGCACUUUGAAAAGAGGGUUAAAUAGCACGUGAAAUUGUUGAAAGGGAAGGAUUUAUGACCAGACUUUUUCUAGGGGGAUCAUCCGGCGUUCUCGCCGGUGCACUUCCCCUAGUUGAGGCCAGCAUCGGUUUCUGCCGGGGGAUAAAAGCUUCGGGAAUGUGGCUCCUUCGGGAGUGUUAUAACCCGUUGCAUAAUACCCUGGCGGGGACCGAGGUUCGCGCAUCUGCAAGGAUGCUGGCGUAAUGGUUAUUAAUCACCCGUCUUGAAACACGGACCAAGGAGUCGAACAUUUGUGCGAGUGUUUGGGUGUUAAACCCUCACGCGUAAUGAAAGUGAACGGAGGUGAGAGCCCUUACGGGUGCAUCAUCGACCGAUCCUGAUGUCUUCGGAUGGAUUUGAGUAAGAGCAUAACUGUUCGGACCCGAAAGAUGGUGAACUAUGCGUGGAUAGGGUGAACCAGAGGAAACUCUGGUGGAGGCUCGCAGCGGUUCUGACGUGCAAAUCGAUCGUCAAAUCUGCGCAU
rnacentral:rRNA from 1 species